rnacentral:rRNA from 1 species
GUGAACGCUGGCGGCGUGCUUAACACAUGCAAGUCGAACGGUAACAGCAGAGCUUGCUCUGGCUGACGAGUGGCGCACGGGUGAGUAAUAUAUAGUUAAUGUGCCUCGAAGACCGGGAUAGCCAUUGGAAACGAUGAUUAAUACUGGAUAUACCUUUCUUUCAUAAGUUAGAAAGGGAAAUGUUUUUUCGCUUCGAGAUCAGACUAUAUCCCAUCAGCUUGUUGGUGAGGUAAGAGCUCACCAAGGCAAUGACGGGUAGCGGGUUUGAGAGGAUGAUCCGCCACACUGGUACUGAGACACGGACCAGACUCCUACGGGAGGCAGCAGUGAGGAAUAUUGCACAAUGGGGGAAACCCUGAUGCAGCAACGCCGCGUGGAGGAUGACGCAUUUCGGUGUGUAAACUCCUUUUAUGAGUCAAGAAAAUGACGGUAGCUCAUGAAUAAGCACCGGCUAACUCCGUGCCAGCAGCCGCGGUAAUACGGAGGGUGCAAGCGUUACUCGGAAUCACUGGGCGUAAAGAGCGUGUAGGCGGAUAGAAAAGUUGGAAGUGAAAUCCUGUGGCUUAACCAUAGAACUGCUUCCAAAACUCUCUAUCUAGAAUAUGGGAGAGGUAGAUGGAAUUUCUGGUGUAGGGGUAAAAUCCGUAGAGAUCAGAAGGAAUACCGAUUGCGAAGGCGAUCUACUGGAACAUUAUUGACGCUGAGACGCGAAAGCGUGGGGAGCAAACAGGAUUAGAUACCCUGGUAGUCCACGCCCUAAACGAUGUACAUUAGUUGUUGCUAUGCUAGACAUAGCAGUAAUGCAGUUAACACAUUAAAUGUACCGCCUGGGGAGUACGGUCGCAAGAUUAAAACUCAAAGGAAUAGACGGGGACCCGCACAAGCGGUGGAGCAUGUGGUUUAAUUCGACGAUACGCGAAGAACCUUACCUGGCCUUGACAUACCAAGAACCUAAUAGAGAUAUAAGGGUGCUAGUUUACUAGAACUUGGAUACAGGUGCUGCACGGCUGUCGUCAGCUCGUGUCGUGAGAUGUUAGGUUAAGUCCUGCAACGAGCGCAACCCUCGUGUUUAGUUACUAACAGAUUAUGCUGAGGACUCUAGACAUACUGCCUGGGCAACCAGGAGGAAGGUGAGGACGACGUCAAGUCAUCAUGGCCCUUACGGCCAGGGCUACACACGUGCUACAAUGGGGUAUACAAAGAGCCGCAAUACCGCGAGGUGGAGCAAAUCUCAUAAAAUAUCUCCCAGUUCGGAUUACACUCUGCAACUCGAGUGUAUGAAGUUGGAAUCGCUAGUAAUCGUAGAUCAGCAAUGCUACGGUGAAUACGUUCCCGGGUCUUGUACUCACCGCCCGUCACACCAUGGGAGUUGAAUUCAUUCGAAGCGGGGAUGCUAAAAUAGCUACCUUCCACAGUGGAUUUAGUAACUAGGGUGAAGUCGUAACAAGGUAACC